rnacentral:rRNA from 1 species
UCAUGGCUCAGGAUGAACGCUGGCGGCGUGCUUAACACAUGCAAGUCGAACGAAGCGUCUCGCCCGAAGAAGCGAAGUGCUUGCACGGAGUGGAUUCAAUUGAGACGACUUAGUGGCGGACGGGUGAGUAACGCGUGGGUAACCUGCCGUAUGCAGGGGGACAACAGUUGGAAACGACUGCUAAUACCGCAUAAGCGCACGGCUCGGCAUCGAGCAGUGUGAAAAGAUUUAUCGGCAUACGAUGGACCCGCGUCUGAUUAGCUAGUUGGUGAGGUAACGGCCCACCAAGGCGACGAUCAGUAGCCGACCUGAGAGGGUGACCGGCCACAUUGGGACUGAGACACGGCCCAAACUCCUACGGGAGGCAGCAGUGGGGAAUAUUGCACAAUGGGCGCAAGCCUGAUGCAGCGACGCCGCGUGAGCGAUGAAGUAUUUCGGUAUGUAAAGCUCUAUCAGCAGGGAAGAUAAUGACGGUACCUGACUAAGAAGCUCCGGCUAAAUACGUGCCAGCAGCCGCGGUAAUACGUAUGGAGCAAGCGUUAUCCGGAUUUACUGGGUGUAAAGGGAGUGUAGGCGGUCCGAUAAGUCUGAUGUGAAAGCCCGUGGCUCAACCGCGGGAUUGCAUUGGAAACUGUAGGACUAGAGUAUCGGAGGGGUAAGCGGAAUUCCUAGUGUAGCGGUGAAAUGCGUAGAUAUUAGGAGGAACACCGGUGGCGAAGGCGGC